rnacentral:rRNA from 1 species
AAAAAAGGUAAGCUACUAAGAGCGAAUGGUGGAUGCCUUGACUGGUAAAGGCGAUGAAGGACGUACUAGACUGCGAUAAGCUACGGGGAGCUGUCAAGAAGCUUUGAUCCGUAGAUUUCCGAAUGGGGCAACCCAAUGUAUAGAGAUAUACAUUACCUAUAUAGGAGCGAACGAGGGGAAUUGAAACAUCUUAGUACCCUCAGGAAAAGAAAUCAAUAGAGAUUGCGUCAGUAGCGGCGAGCGAAAGCGCAAGAGGGCAAACCCAGUGCUUGCACUGGGGGUUGUAGGACUGCAAUGUGCAAGAGGUAAGUUUAGCAGAACAUUCUGGAAAGUAUAGCCAUAGAGGGUGAUAGUCCCGUAUGCGAAAAACAAACCUUAGCUAGCAGUAUCCUGAGUAGGGCGGGACACGAGAAAUCCUGUCUGAAGCUGGGUCGACCACGAUCCAACCCUAAAUACUAAUACCAGAUCGAUAGUGCACAAGUACCGUGAGGGAAAGGUGAAAAGAACUGAGGUGAUCAGAGUGAAAUAGAACCUGAAACCAUUUGCUUACAAUCAUUCAGAGCCCUAUGUAGCAAUACAGGGUGAUGGACUGCCUUUUGCAUAAUGAGCCUGCGAGUUGUGGUGUCUGGCAAGGUUAAGCAAACGCGAAGCCGUAGCGAAAGCGAGUCUGAAUAGGGCGCUUAGUCAGAUGCUGCAGACCCGAAACGAAGUGAUCUAUCCAUGAGCAAGUUGAAGCUAGUGUAAGAACUAGUGGAGGACUGAACCCAUAGGCGUUGAAAAGCCCCGGGAUGACUUGUGGAUAGGGGUGAAAGGCCAAUCAAACUUCGUGAUAGCUGGUUCUCUCCGAAAUAUAUUUAGGUAUAGCGUUGUGUCGUAAUAUAAGGGGGUAGAGCACUGAAUGGGCUAGGGCAUACACCAAUGUACCAAACCCUAUCAAACUCCGAAUACCUUAUAUGUAAUCACAGCAGUCAGGCGGCGAGUGAUAAAAUCCGUCGUCAAGAGGGAAACAACCCAGACUACCAGCUAAGGUCCCUAAAUCUUACUUAAGUGGAAAACGAUGUGAAGUUACUUAAACAACCAGGAGGUUGGCUUAGAAGCAGCCAUCCUUUAAAGAAAGCGUAAUAGCUCACUGGUCUAGUGAUUUUGCGCGGAAAAUAUAACGGGGCUAAAGUAAGUACCGAAGCUGUAGACUUGCGCACAACUUAGAUUAUUUAAGUUUAGAAUAUGAGAAACUAAGUUAUAUGUUUAGUUAUAUUUUUACUGAUUUUUAUAGAGUAAAGAUAGAAAUAAAACUUAGUAAAAUCAGUAAAAAUAUUCUUAGACUAAAGUUAAGUAGUUUAAGUUGUGUGCAAGUGGUAGGAGAGCGUUCUAUUUGCGUCGAAGGUAUACCGGUAAGGAGUGCUGGAGCGAAUAGAAGUGAGCAUGCAGGCAUGAGUAGCGAUAAUUAAUGUGAGAAUCAUUAACGCCGUAAACCCAAGGUUUCCUACGCGAUGCUCGUCAUCGUAGGGUUAGUCGGGUCCUAAGUCGAGUCCGAAAGGGGUAGACGAUGGCAAAUUGGUUAAUAUUCCAAUACCAACAUUAGUGUGCGAUGGAAGGACGCUUAGGGCUAAGGGGGCUAGCGGAUGGAAGUGCUAGUCUAAGGUCGUAGGAGGUUAUACAGGCAAAUCCGUAUAACAAUACUCCGAGAACUGAAAGGCUUUUUGAAGUCUUCGGAUG